rnacentral:rRNA from 1 species
AGUUGCGAAGGCGGCUCUCUGGACUGUAACUGACGCUGAGGCACGAAAGCGUGGGGAGCAAACAGGAUUAGAUACCCUGGUAGUCCACGCUGUAAACGAUGAGUACUAGGUGUCGGGGGUUACCCCCUUCGGUGCCGCAGCUAACGCAUUAAGUACUCCGCCUGGGAAGUACGCUCGCAAGAGUGAAACUCAAAGGAAUGGACGGGGACCCGCACAAGUAGCGGAGCAUGUGGUUUAAUUCGAAGCAACGCGAAGAACCUUACCUAAGCUUGACAUCCCAAUGACAUCUCCUUAAUCGGAGAGUGCCCUUCGGGGACAUUGGUGACAGGUGGUGCAUGGUUGUCGUCAGCUCGUGUCGUGAGAUGUUGGGUUAAGUCCCGCAACGAGCGCAACCCUUGUCUUUAGUUGCCAUCAUUAAGUUGGGCACUCUAGAGAGACUGCCAGGGAUAACCUGGAGGAAGGUGGGGAUGACGUCAAAUCAUCAUGCCCC